AAAAGUUAUCAAUGUAUGUCAAAUACCUAUUUUAAAUUUCUUCUUCAUUUUUUUCCUCCCAGAGAGGUAACGUAGGAAUUCCGACCAGUUGAAAACUGAUAACCACAGAUGUGACAUAUGCAAAGUAAAAAGAGAAAUCCGUGCAGGAAGGAGAAGCAGAAGAAUCUGCUAUCCUGAGAAUCAAGGCCGAAAGUGUCAGCACGAGGGAAGAACGGAUGCAGUUAAGAGGAAUGGAGUGAAGAGGGCGCUAGACUUUGUAUUAGGUAAACAGAGCUUCCCCCUUAUUAGUGGUUUUGCUUUCGCACUUUCUGUUACUCUAGUCAGCCGCCCAGGAGGCAGUUGAUCCUCCUUCUGACGAAUCAUCAGAAGGCUAAUAGUAGACUAACGCUACACCAGGCUACGUCGCAAUGCCUACGUCAUCCACGUCCGUCAGGCGUUUGCUCAUUUCGCAUGGCCAGAAGACGAGCAGGAAAGGACACAACAUGGGUAUGAAAUACCUUUUCAAUUGCCAGUCCUUUGCUACAGGAGCGAAGCCAUCAUCCUCAGACUGCCUGCUAAGUUCAGGAUUCAUUGACAUGCCAUGUGGUGGUGGUGGAAGGGGACUCUGCCUUUGCACAAGGAGGACUCCGAACCAAAGGUUAAGGACCAAGUCAGAAGAGAUGGUUUUGGUAUUCUAGAAUGGCUAAAAAUAACAAACAGAUAUCAAGCCACAGUUUGUAACUCAAUUUUAUGACUUGCUUUACUCAUUUUUCUUAAAGGCAAAAAUGAAAAUGAUUUAAUCGAAAUAGUACAAAAAAACAGAUUGCCUCAUGUUAUUUACUCAUUAUUCAUUUUUUCAUCCACUCAACAAAUACUUAUGGAAGUACUCCUAUGUGUCAGGAACUCUGUGGCAGUUACAACCAUAUUUGUAUAUUUAUGUUAUACUUUUAUUCUGGUUCAAGGGUAUUGUGUGUACCAGAUUUUAAUGGUGGUAAUUUUGUAUAGCAAUGACUGUAGAUGCCUAAGUCAUGCUUCUUGCUAUCUAAUCGAACAUCAGUGAUAAACAUUAAGAGUACUUACGAUAAUUAAGACAUAUUUUAAUGGAAGUCUUUUGGUUAUACCUUUAAAAAACAGCUGUAUACUUAAAAGACUAUAUUAUAUAAGUACCUCUAUUUUUAUACCUAUAGCUGUAUCUUUGAAAAGAACCUGUAACCCCAUAGCACUAAGUUAAAUUAUAAUUCAUGCUGUAGUUUUAUAAACCAGAGGUCAAAAUAUUGUUCAGGCACAUUUGCUUCAUCUGUCAGACAUGAAAAUGACUCCUAUCAAUUGUCCUUCUUAAUUUUUAAGUCAUUUUUACUCAUUUUGAGGUUACAUGUGUUUGAUUGGAUUCAGUCAAAAUGGCUAUGCAGUUUUUACUAUGCCUUGUAAUUUUUUUCAUUACAAUAAAAAGCCCUUUAAAUCACUG
rnacentral:lncRNA from 1 species